rnacentral:rRNA from 1 species
CCUGCCUGUAAGACUGGGAUAACUUCGGGAAACCGGAGCUAAUNCCGGAUAAUCCUUUCCCUCNCAUGAGGGAAAGCUGAAAGACGGUUUNGGCUGUCACUUACAGAUGGGCCCGCGGCGCAUUAGCUAGUUGGUGAGGUAACGGCUCACCAAGGCAACGAUGCGUAGCCGACCUGAGAGGGUGAUCGGCCACACUGGGACUGANACACGGCCCAGACUCCUACGGGAGGCAGCAGUAGGGAAUCNUCCGCAAUGGACGAAAGUCUGACGGAGCAACGCCGCGUGAACGAUGAAGGCUUUCGGGUCGUAAAGUUCUGUUGUCAGGGAAGAACAAGUAUCGGAGUAACUGCCGGUACCUGACGGU